GACGAACGCUGGCGGCGUGCUUAACACAUGCAAGUCGAACGGAAAGGCCCUGCGUUUGUGGGGUGCUCGAGGGGCGAACGGGUGAGUAACACGUGAGUAACCUGCCCUUGACUUUCGGAUAACUUCAGGAAACUGAGGCUAAUACCGUAUAGGAGCUCCUGCUGCAGGGUGGGGGUUGGAAAGUUUCGGCGGUUGGGGAUGGACUCGCGGCUUAUCAGCUUGUUGGUGGGGUAGUGGCUUACCAAGGCUUUGAAGGGUAGCCGGCCGGAGAGGGUGAACGGGCACAUUGGGACUGAGAUACGGCCCAGACUGCUACGUGAGGCAGCAGUGGGGAAUAUUGCACAAUGGGCGGAAGUCUGAUGCAGCAACGCUGCGUGCGGGAUGACGGCCUUCGGGUUGUAAACCGCUUUAGCCUGUGACGCAGCGUGAGUGACGGUAAUGGGUAAAGAAGCACCGGCUAACUACGUG
rnacentral:rRNA from 1 species